UUAGAAAUGCAUGCAGACGUGGGUCUCGAUUCAAACACUAAGGAACGCACACCCUCACUUACUUACAGGCAGAAAGUCUUCAUACUCAUAGAGGUGUGAUGGAGAUAGCAGGACAUAAAACAGAAGAGAGAGAGAGAGAGAGAGAGGGAGAGGGAGAGAGAGAGAGAGAUGGCUGGCUGGCAGCAAGUAUGCCCCUGCAAAUAAUUCUAAAGUGCGUUUGCAAAAUGCAGAAGCCUUCAGCACCAUCCAACAAUUCAGACACCCUUUUUAUUUCUUCUCUGCGGGACGCCUCCAUCCAGACUAUUCGCAAAAACACGGAAAAGUAAAGAUGCUGCUGUUCCAUCUUCCAUUGUUCUCAUCUUUCCAAGACUGUGGUGCUCCAGGAGAUCUGCCCUGUGGAAGGGGAACCCAGAUCUAGACUAUUGGUCAGAUGAAGUCAACUGAUUCAUGCCUUGCCAGCUGGAUCUCCCUUGCUUCUUCCAGGAGAGAGGGGGUUGAAAGAGCCAACAGGAACUGAGAAGCAAGAUAAACGAAGGAGGAAAAGUAACAAAGAGCUUGAAGACUUUCAUGGCUCCCAGGCCCUGGAUGGAGGCAGGCGGCCCCAGACAGACAGACAGAACCAAGAAGGUGCCUGUGGCUGCAGAGCCCAGACUUGUCUUGGAAAAGAUGGAGAAGAGCCAGUAAACUUGGCUUCCUCGAUUCUGCUCAUCCCCAUCAGCAGAGAGAAAUAAUGACUCCCGAAACAUUUCAGAAUCAAAAAGUUAAAACGAUGUUUCAGUGAUGCUACAUCAUGCCAGACACGGGCUAAUGGUUUGAAGAUAUUGGCCUAGCAAGAUGGCAACGAGCUUAAAAAAUAGGAUUCCUAAGAAGUUACUUUUUUCAGACAUCUCAAACCCCCAAACGAGAGAAGAUCUUGAGGCCUGUUGCCAC